AUUGAACGCUGGCGGCAGGCCUAACACAUGCAAGUCGAACGAGUGGCGGACGGGUGAGUAAUGUCUGGGAAACUGCCCGGUGGAGGGGGAUAACUAAUGGAAACGGUAGCUAAUACCGCAUACCAUCGGAGGUGCCCAGAUGGGAUUAGCUAGUAGGUGGGGUAACGGCUGACCUAGGCGACGAUCCCUAGCUGGUCUGAGAGGAUGACCCGCCACCAUGGAACUGAGACACGGUCCAGACUCCUACGUGAGGCAGCAGUGGGGAAUAUUGCACAAUGGGCGCAAGCCUGAUGCAGCCAUGCCGCGUGUAUGAAGAAGGCCUUCGGGUUGUAAAGUACUUUCAGCGGGGAGGCGUUACCCGCAGAAGAAGCACCGGCUAACUCCGUGCCAGCAGCCGCGGUAAUAC
rnacentral:rRNA from 1 species